AAAGGGCAGGAGGCCCCCUCAGUUGUCUUUUAGGAGGACACUGAUCCCAUUCGUGAGUGCAGAGCCCUCAAGAUCAAAUCGCCUCCCAAAGCGCCCACCUUGUAAUACUAUCACACUGGGGACUGGGCUCCACAUAUGAAUUCUGGGCAACAGCAACAGAUUGCAGAGCACAGCAAUCUGCAAACGCUCUUCUAAGGCGAUCCUUACCUUUACCACGUGUAUUCCUACAGGGUAUCCUGAGCAGAACUACACCAGAUAGCAUGGUAAAAAACAUUUUUUUAAGGCUGUUAAGGGAUGCAUCUUAAUGUAGCAAUAUAUUUAGCCCAGUAGGGCUAUUCAUUUCAAAUCACAGAGCCAGUCCAAGCUCCAUCACUUCUGGAUGGGGCCAGACUGAGGAGUGGUGACUAUGUGAUGAGUCAAUGUCUUAGUUCAUGUGGUCUUGCUACCCAGGAGGUGAGAUUAAGCUGUCCUUUUAGACCUCAUUUAAAACAUUCUCUAUGACUUCCUUUUGGUGUUUUUAAUAUUCUAUCUUGCACAGCAGUUACAUCUUGAAUUUAAAAUCCCCCCUCUUUGAGCAUUUGUAAGCUAAUGUAGAGGUUCUAAUAUGUGGCAAAUUAUAAUUUUUCUGAUGCCCAAGACUUGGACACUGCAGGGUGGACCCCAGGGGUGGGUUCCUGCCUCUACCCGGACUCUGGCCUCACUGUGGCUUCAUCAUCUCAUGCUCGGCCCUGACCUCCUUCCUCCCAUGGCAAGAGCCUGUGGAAGACCGGUUAAGACGACUCAGGAGGUGGCUGUCCCCAGCCAUGCGGUGGCCCGUGCAGUGACAGACGCAGACCAUUCCCCCGUCCUGCACAGGGACCCAGGGGCACCUGCGUUGUCACCUUCAGCCCGGUCCACGACCUCAGGCUCCCUGUGGAAGCAGAGAUCAGGCGUGAGCUGCUAUGGGCACCCACGGGAGGUGCCACCAUGCACAGAACCUCCCGGGCCAGCACGCACCGUGUCAGACCCAGGGAGUGAGCGCCCAGCCAUGUUUCACAGGUUUGAAUCUCUCCUCAAAGCUCUCAGACGUGACAAUUACUAUCAAGUCGCACUCGCUGGGCCAGAGAAUCGUGGUGUGGGUGAAGAGCUGUCUCCUCAUGCAGCACGUGGCCUGACUCUGUUCUCUUUAAUGCUCACCCUCUUCCCCCUUUCAUCACAGCCUGUUCUUAGGCCGUGGCUUUCUGUUCUUGUUUCAUGGCAUCACUGUCUCUGUGUAUUUUGUUAGGGAUGGAAAACUGUUUCCAGAACAAUUUAUUUCCAGUUAAUCUAGUAAAUCAUCCUCAGUUUCCAAAAUAAUUUAUUAUUCCUGGUUUGAGUAGUAAAUCAUGUCCAAAAGUCUCUUCAUCUUCUUCUGAGUCAUCAGGGUUGUUGUUUCUUUCAAUGUUUUUGAAUUUUUUAUUCCAAUUGGCAGCAUAUUGAUGUUUUUCUUUUUAGUUCACUUUUAGAAGAAGAAAUAUUUACCUAGACUUGAAGAUGGCCUCCAACACAGUGUGUCAACUAUCAUUGUUGGUGAGAUCACUGGUUACGGCUCAUAGUGGCAGACAAUAGAAUGCAUUCCAGUUACUAGCAGAAGAAAGUGAUCUAUCAGCUGGUCUGAUGGAUCUUACAGAACCUCAGUGAGAGUCCGAGAGUAGGAUUUGAUUGAUACACAGUUGGAAACAAUGGCAAUCAAGGGAAAUGCCCAACCAUAUGUGGAACUUCUCUAGUGGAAACACCAGUGUUGCCAUCACCUUCUGCUCAGUACCUAAGAUUCUGGGACCCAGAGUCUCCAAACUGCCAGAACUGUUCCAGGAGAGCCAACAUGCCUAUUGCUUGGGAAGACCUCCAACUUCCCUGAGCAUGAGCAGGGCCACUGCCUCCCAUUGCUCAUGUCCUCCUACUCUCACCUGGACAUCUGCCUAGCAGAAUCUAAUCCACAUCCAAAAUCCUGGCUCUGGUAAGUGGGGUUUAUAGUUUCCGUGAGUCUGUGGUACUGGAAGGAUCACUAACAGGAAGUGGGAAUGGCAGUUGAGUGAGCUGCUGGAAAAUCUGCUGCACUAAACAAGUUUAGUGAUGGAUGGAACACCUUGGCCCACGAUCCCAGGUCUAGAUGGCCUUCAUCCAUGGUGGUUUUGCUGUACAGGAGUGGGUCUUCCUUCACACCACUGAUUUCUUAGGACCCUGUACCAAUGAAGGAUAUUUUAAAGAUCACAAUUCAUUCUUGAACUAACUCUAGGGCUCCUUAUACCUUCAUCUUCCCUCACCAGAAUUUAUUUUCUCAAAUGAAAUGUGUCAUCAACAAUCUCUCCCCAAACACUUCACACCGCAACUUCCGACAUUCACUAGUUUUUUGAGAGUUUUGGUCUCUGGGUGGAAUUACAAGUAUGUGGAGAGAAAAAGGAGAGGGGGAUUCUUACCACCAACACGGUUGAGAACCAGCUGCAGAGUUUCUGGGUUGGUAUAGGUUCUGGGUGCAUGAGUUAGGCAGAGAAUUGAUGCAGGAAGGGGCUUGGGUAAACCAAAUGACUUGUUUUCAGGCAUUUGGGCUACCUCUAAGCAGAAUUCUACAGGUACUGUCCUAUGAUUUUAUAAAAUUACAAAGUCAUUCAUUUAUAUAUUAGAAGAGUUUUUUUUCUCUCUUGGCAAAAAUGAUGCCUGGCUUUUCAACAAACGUUGCCAGAAUAAGUAGGUACCUACAUACAAAAGAAUGCAGUUGGGGCCCUGCCUCAUAACAUACACAAAAAUUAACUCAACAUGGAUCCUGGGCACAAAUGGAAGAGCUAAAAAUGUAAGAUGAAAUGUAAGAUAUACAAAUGGUCAAUAAGCACAGGAAAAGAUGCUCAACAUCAUUAGUAUUGCAAGAAAUGCAAAUCAAAACCACAAUCUGAUACAUGUCAUACCCACUGGGAUGGCAAAAGUGAAGAAAAAAGGCAAUAACUAAUGUUGGCAAAGAUGUGGAAAAACUGGAACCAUCAUUCAUUGCUGGUGGGAAUUUAAAAUAAUGCAGAUGCUUUGGAAAACAGUUUGGCAAUUCUUCACAAAGUUCAAUCUAAAGUUACUGUAUGACUCAGCAAUUCUACUCCAUGAGUAUUGAAAACAUAUGUCCACACAAAAAUGUGUACACAAAUGUUUACAGCAGCAAUAGUAUAGCUAUUAUUAUUCAUAAUAUCCAGAGAGUGGAAAAGCAUCAACUGAUGG
ensembl:lincRNA